GUUUCUCUUGGAGGUAGUCGACAAGGGUUCGGGCUUCUUCGAGAGUUAGGGAGGAGAUUUCGUUGCCGAGUUUUUCGAUUUUUUCGGGUGCUGCCGUGGCGUUGAGAGGACGGAGGAAGGUGCUGCGGUGGGUCAGGUUAGAAGGGGUGGUGGAACGGAGAGGGAAUUGGAGAGAAGGGGUUCUGAAAGAGACGGGAUGCGUAGGAUGAGAGGAAGUGGGUGGAGGAUACGAGGGGGAACGGAGAGAAAGUGUGGAGAGAGUGGAAGAAGCCAUUUUUCUUUCCUUUCCCUGCUUGGAGUGAGAGAGUGACGACUGAAGACCUCCCCUCAGGAUAGGAUAAGGAAGGUAAG
rnacentral:lncRNA from 1 species